rnacentral:other from 1 species
AUCUAGCUGUAACGCACCGUUUCAACAAGCAUCCAAACAAUGUAAUGCCAUACAUGUGAAUUGCUGUGUGUAGUCUUUGCCUAUCAUCUCAUGAUGGGCUUUUUUUUAU